AGAGGCUCCAGCCAAUCUCCGCUGUGCAGCAGGCAGGGCCGGAGGCAGCUGGACGGCAGGAGCUGGUCGUCAGUUGGGCUCCUUUCAGGAGCAGGACCCUGUGAGCUCGGUCGAGGAGUGUGAUGACCGGGGAGCAGAUGGCGGCCUUUCACCCACCCACCACUCCCAACCCCCUGGAAAGGCCAAUUAAGGUGGGCUGGCUGAAGAAGCAGAGGUCCAUCGUGAAAAACUGGCAGCAGCGGUACUUUGUGUUGAGAGCUCAGCAACUCUACUACUACAAGGACGAAGAGGACUCAAAGCCACAGGGCUGCAUGUAUCUGCCAGGCAGUACAGUCAAAGAAAUUGCCACAAACCCCGAAGAAGCUGGGAAAUUUGUCUUUGAAGUUAUUCCAGCCUCAAGUGACCAGAACCGCAUUGGACAAGACUCCUACGUCCUCAUGGCCAGCUCCCAGGUAGAGAUGGAGGAGUGGGUUAAGUUCCUCAGGAGAGUUGCUGGCACGCCCUCUGGAGCGGUGUUUGGCCAGCGUCUGGAUGAGACUGUGGCCUAUGAGCAGAAGUUUGGCCCUCACCUGGUGCCCAUCUUGGUGGAGAAGUGCGCUGAGUUCAUCCUGGAACAUGGUGUGAGUGAAGAGGGCAUCUUCCGCCUGCCCGGGCAGGACAACCUUGUGAAGCAGCUGAGAGAUGCUUUCGAUGCGGGGGAGCGGCCCUCCUUUGACAGGGACACAGAUGUGCACACGGUGGCAUCUCUACUAAAGCUCUACCUCCGAGACCUGCCAGAGCCUGUGGUUCCUUGGAGUCAGUAUGAAGGGUUCCUGCUCUGUGGGCAGCUCAUGAACGCAGAUGAGGCAAAGGCUCAGCAGGAGUUGGUGAAGCAGCUUUCUACCCUUCCCCGAGACAACUACAACCUCCUGAGCUACAUCUGCAGAUUUCUGCAUGAAAUCCAGCUGAACUGUGCCGUCAACAAGAUGAGCGUGGACAACCUGGCCACUGUGAUCGGGGUGAACCUCAUCAGGUCGAAGGUUGAAGACCCAGCUGUGAUUAUGAGAGGUACACAGGCUGAUCCUGCAGGGAAGCGGCUUGCUGGGCGUGACAGCGAGAACACUGCCCCCUAGUGUCCGUUUGAUGUCCUGCCGCUUACCGAGCUUGCCUACUUGACCUCUUCUGACUUUAUUAACAUCCCCCAUGAGGUCAGCAGUGCAGGAAUUAGGUCCCCUGUUCAAUGGUCACGGAUCGCAGCAGUCUAACCUCAAACCAAUUAACUAGUGCUUUCCAGUCCUUUUAUGACUUUAACAUACCUUUAGCCAAGAAGAGCAAACAGGGUUUUAUUUUACAAGCCGGUUUCACAAAAUGGUUGCUGUAAAGCUUGGCUGAAAGCUUUCUAAGGUCGUGACUUGGCUCAAUAAGCAAAAGUCCUGGCCGAGAAGACUCGUGAUGGACGUGGGGAGGAAGUGUCCCUGACACCCAUUUGCUUCAGGAGUAAUAACAAGACAGACCGUAUUGAGGACCACAGGGACUCCUCAGAUCCAAAGAGUGAUGACCAUGAUGAUCAGAGACCACGAAGUCCUCUUCCCCAAGUCUAAGGAUGCACCGAUCUCACCCCCUGCCCAGAAAAACGAUGCCAAGAAGGCUCCAGUGCCGCGAAGCUCUGUGGGGUGGGAUGCCACGGAAGACCCACCCCUUUCUAGGACAGACAGCUUCAGUAACACAGCAAGUAGUCCUGAUGCCACCAGUCCCACUGGACCACUGCCCAGUGACCAGCAUCAGGAAGACAGCGGAAAAGCCCCCAGGGAAAACCCAGGAGACUGGAAGAUGCAAUCCCGUAAAAGGACUCAAACGCUUCCCAACCGGAAGUGUUUCCUGACGUCCGCAUUCCAAGGCACCACCAGCAGUAAACUGGAAAUCUUUAAAAAUGAGUUCUGGUCUCCAUCUUCAGAGGCUAAGGCAGGAGAAGGGCACAGGCGAACUAUGUCCCAAGACUUGCGCCACCUUUCCAAUGACCAGCGGACUUCUACCUACGAUAAUGUCCCCACCUCACCACAGUCCCAAGGGAACCCAGCAGGUGCACUCUCUCCCCCUGCCAGUGACUCCAAGAGAGAUGCUCUUGUUAGCACAGACUCUGAAAUGGAGGCUGGAAGCAAGAACUCUGGCGAGGAUGACCUUGAUUCUCUGCAGAGGACAGUCCAGAGCCUACAGAAGGAAAUAGAAACCCAGAAGCAGGUCUAUGAGGAACAGAUUAAAAACCUGGAGAAGGAAAAUUACGAUGUCUGGGCUAAGGUGGUGAGGCUCAAUGAAGAACUCGAGAGGGAGAGGAAGAAAUUCGCGGCCCUGGAAAUCAGCCUUCGAAAUGUGGAGCGCUCCCGGGAGGACGUUGAGAAGAGGAACAGAGUCUUGGAAGAAGAAGUCAAGGAGUUUGUGAAGUCGAUGGAGAAGCCCAAGACAAAGACGGAUCCUUGAGGGUCUGAGUGGUGUGGCAGGGACAGUCAACUCCACUCCAUUUCUUCAUGCUCCUAGUGAGCUGGAAGCAGGGUUACCUCCUAGGAUGGACAGGGUAUCUGAGGGAUGUGCCACAAUCCUCAGCAAAUACACAGAAGUUGAGAGUGUACAGGAGCACACCAGGACACUUGCCACCCUGUGCUGUGCUCCAAGGAUUGCGUUAUUCCACUGUGGGAAGAGUGAACUGGAAUCUUCCAGUGUAUGACCAGGUCCAAAGGAGACAUUUAAGGUGUGUGACAUCUCAGGACCCCAGGCCAGAGCUGGGCCAAGGCCUCAGUUCUUUGUUGUCUCUGUGGCUGUCUUGCCUAGUCAGAUGGUUCUGGUCGCUCUAAAACAUGGCCAGAAAAUAUUUCUUCACUCUCCAGUGCUGGCCAACUGAGGGCUGCUUGGAGAGGCUGAACUGUUGGAAUCCAGGAUCAAACAAUAUUUAUGAAAGCAAAAUGAGUGAGAAAAUUAUAUUCAAAUAAAGAAAACAGAAAACAAAAAUUGAGCAAGGAUAUUGGCAAUCUAAUGAAACACUUUUAUUAGAAUUAGUAAAAGGGGGUUUGGUAAAAUUAGUAAAAGCUGGCUCUGUGGCUGAGAGCACUGGCUGCUCUUUCAGAGGACUCAGCAUCCACACGAUGAUGGCUAACAAACCUCUGUAGCUCCAGUUCCAGGAGAUCUGACACCCUCUGAGGACACCAUAUAUACAUAUGCUGCCCAUACAUAUAUGCAAACAAACAAACACCCGUACACAUCAAAUACACACACACACACACACAUACAUACAUACAUACAUACAUUCCAACAACAAAGAAAAAAAUAAUUAGUAAAAGGCACCUCUUGCCUGAAGCAGGUGAAUCUUUCUUGUGGUACAUGGCUGUGUGACCAGGGCUUUGGGUUCCAUCCUGAGUCACCCUCCAGUGGACAAAACUUGUCUGCAAAGUCUCAGAGCAAAGGUUUCCAACUAUGAAAUGACUUUAGGGGUGUGGAUUUGUAUAGUGAAUAGUCAAGAUUAUUAAUUAUUAUUGUCAUUGUUGUUAUUGCUAUUCUACUUCAACAAAAUGAAAAUGGGUUUAUUUGCUCUUUAGAGGGGGAUCAGGCACAAUCAUCUGUUUUCUCAACUAUAGCUAAUGCCACCUGCCUUUUGCUGAGUUAAUUAUAAAAACAACCAACCAACAAUAUCGCUGAUUACUCUCUGGCCACAAUGGUCUCCCUGCUCCCGUGGCUUGCCCCAGGUGGCAGUACCGCCCCAAUUGCUGCUGUUGGCUUGCCACUGAACCUCUGUAUUCUCAGUCAUCUAUUCCUUGCGGCUAGCUGUCACAAAUCCUCUGUAACCCAGUAAAAUCAAAACUCU